rnacentral:rRNA from 1 species
AGCGAACGCUGGCGGCAGGCCUAACACAUGCAAGUCGAACGAACCUUUCGGGGUUAGUGGCGGACGGGUGAGUAACACGUGGGAACGUGCCUUUAGGUUCGGAAUAACUCAGGGAAACUUGUGCUAAUACCGAAUGUGCCCUUCGGGGGAAAGAUUAAUCGCCUUUAGAGCGGCCCGCGUCUGAUUAGCUAGUUGGUUGAGGUAAUGGCUCACCAAGGCGACGAUCAGUAGCUGGUCUGAGAGGAUGAUCAGCCACAUUGGGACUGUGACACGGCCCAAACUCCUACGGGAGGCAGCAGUGGGGAAUCUUGCGCAAUGGGCGAAAGCCUGACGCAGCCAUGCCGCGUGAAUGAUGAAGGUCUUAGGAUUGUAAAAUUCUUUCACCGGGGACGAUAAUGACGGUACCCGGAGAAGAAGCCCCGGCUAACUUCGUG